rnacentral:Y_RNA from 1 species
GGUUGGUCCGAAUAGCAGUGGUGUUUACAACUAAUUGAUCACAACCGGUUACAGAUUCCUUGGUUCCUUCUCCACUCCCACUGCUCCACUUGACCAGCCUUUA